CCCACAUGUGACAGAACAGACUUAUGUUGGGCGGCUAACCUUUAGAAGAAGAAGACCAUGCAGCGGCGGCUGAAAGCUCCGGAACCUGCUGCUUCCUGUUCGCUCAAUAAGACGUGAGGGUUCCGUUAAGAAGCAUUAAGUCUCGUCUUUAUUGAAAAGAGACACAUUACAGUAGAAGACUCUGUAUUAGGUAGAAUUUCUCAACAACGGUACUGUACAGCAAAGAAAAAGUCAACAACAACAACAACAGCAACAACAACAACGACAAUAAUAAUAAUAAUUAGAAUAACAGUGACGAUAAUGUCUAGAUGAUAAAUCAGGAAUAAAACGUGGAUGGACUGAAGAGGUUGGCUAAAAAUAUACAAAAAUGUAGGAUUGAGGGGGCGGAGUCUUUGUUUAUAAAUAAAGUGGGUGGUCCGGGUGGACGGGGUUUAGGGCUAAAGGCUACAUGAGGUUCUGAUGUCUAUGUACAGGUGUUGGCGGCAAUAUUAGUGCCGUGAUUCAUCUACAAGCGGGAGGCUUCAGUUGAGCUAAAAAACUAUGCUAAUUCUAGUUUGGCUAACUGUUUGCUAGCUGCUGCUUCACAGGACGUUUUAGUCUAAACAUUUCGCAGCUUUUCACGAUCGGUGUCACGGGGAAAACACAGAGGGCAAGGAAGUUCACUAGCAAGAUGAAGCUACACGUGCUAACAUGCUAGCUACAGCUAGCUGACACACAACAGCGCUUUUUGUGAAAACAAAUGUGAAGAAAAUACAUUUUACCGAGUUUUUGCAGCAAUUUAGAGAAUAAAAAUAUCAGACUUUGAAAGUAAAUUUAGCUAACGCCCUACUUCUACCUGCUAGCUAAUAUUAGCUAAUGAAAUUGUUCACGUUUGAGUUUAGUCUUCAGUCAAAGUCAUCUAAAUUUGGACCUAACUCAAAGUUAAGAUUACUAAUUAGAGAAUCAGUUUAGGAAAAACCUAGCUAAUUCCCUGCUUCUGCCUUAGUUUAGCUAAAUAAUCAGCUACAAGAAAAAGACAACUUGUCGUUAGCUGCAGUUAGCCGACACACGACUCGGCAGUUUAUGUGAAAACAAACAGAUCAAAGUAGACGUUUGCAAGAUUUCCGUUUGAUUUAAAGAGUUAAAAUAUCACAUUCCUCAGCACAAAUUGGUUUAGAAAAAGGCUAAUGGGAAAACAAAUUUAGCUAAUGUCCUGCAUUUCUGUUAGCUAAGUUGAGCUCAGGGAAUUAGCCAUAUGUUAACUCAAGCUUGAUUCAAACUCAUCUAAAUCUAGAUUCAAAAUUAAGAUUAAAAAUAUCAGAUUUCCAGAAAAGCUAAUCUGAAUACAUAUUUAGCUAAUGUACUGCUUCUACCCGCUAGCUAACAAUAGCUAAUGAAACUGGUCACGUUUGGAUUCAUGACUGAACUAAAUCUAGAUUAAACUCAAAAUAAAGGUGAAAAAUUUCAGAUUUUGGAGCACAGAUAAGUUUUCAAAAAACCAAAAUCUGUUAAGUGUCAAAAUCUGCAAACGAUAGCACGUUAAAUGUUAGCUUCAACUAGCUUCAGUGACAGAUGAUAGCAGUUUCUGUGAAAACAAAAAGAGAAAAAGUAUUUCCUGCCAUCAAGAGAGUAAAAAAUAUCCCAAAGACAAAUUAACUUGGAGAAAAGCUAAUGUGACACUAGCGCCCUGCCUCUCUGUGUUAGCUAAGCUAACUUUUGGAUUCAGUCUUCACUCUUAACAUUUUAAAUUUUAAAGAGCACAAACCAGUUGAGGGCAAAGCUAACAUGAAAAGAAAUGAUAUGAAAAGUAAAAAAAAUUAUAAAGAGUCAAGUCGACAAAACUGUACAGCAAAAUGAAUUUACGACAAGCUGAGGUUAGCUAACUGAUCGCUAGCUGUUGCUUCACAACAUGUUUCUGUUCUCUAAAGUUGUCCAUUUUUCCUGUUUCUUUAACCUUCGGAGGGGAAGAAAGUGCAGUUUAAAGUAUUAGUAGGUUGCUUGCAAGCUAAAGCAAAGGUAUUAGCACUGUUAGCUUGUUCACUGCUAGCCGCAGUUAGCUUCAGGGACAGAUGACUCAGCAGCUAAAAGCAGACAUUCCCUUGUUUUCUCAACCGCUGUGAGGUGAAAUGAAAAGACUGGAUUUCAGCUUCAAGUCUCAAAAUUCCCAAAGCAUAAAUCAGCGACCAGCAGAAGACUUAGCGGGAAAUUAAGCUAACGUCCUGCUUUAUUCCAUUAGCAAAGUUCAGCUAACUGAUCGCUAGCAGCUGCAACAGUUAGCAUUGACAAACUCUUUCUGUGCUAAUUGGAUGUUGCUAAACUUUUCAAAAUAAGCUCACUGUUGUUUACACUGUUUCUAUUGUCCACAUAUUAGCUAACUUCUCUAAAAGUGCCGCACCGUAGCUAGUUAGCAUCACCAUUAGCUUCUAUUUACACUUAAAUUAACUUUGGAUUCCUCAAAACGUUAAAAUAGUUUAGAGGAAACUCCCAGAAGCCACCACCGUUUAGAGGAACAAACAACUUGGUGCCUGAAUAUUAAGACGGAAAACAGAUUUUAGUGCAUUUCUGUCAUAAAUUAAAGGACGCCUUCAGAUAUAAAAACAUAAAAUUAAAAUCACUUUGAAGAUAAAAAUGUUGGUUAAACCUCAUUAUUAGGAGGUCGAAUGGCAACUUGAAGGGAAAUAAAGGUGUGGCACGUAAAGGAAACGAGGAAGGCAGGCGUGCAAAUGAAAAAAGGCAAAACAUUAGUGUUGACGUGGAAGGAGAAACGGUUUUCUUACAUUUCUACACAGUGUUUGUGUUUUAAUGGGAGUAUUGCAGCAGUGUAUGACGGUGAUGCUUUGAUGAAUAUUGCUCAAAUACACAGUCGGAUCGAGAGCUGAGGUCGUAGAAGAAGUAAAAGUCAAACGUGGAGGUUUGAGCAGCAUCGUUCCUGAUCUGUUGACAUGUUUCAAACACCAAAGAAAUCAGCAUCAGCGGCUUCAGAAACACCUGAAAUUCAGCCGCGAUGCUUCAGAUUCAUUCCAGUACCUCCACCAGCGGCUCCCAACAGGUUAUCGCGACACUGUUUAGUGGUUUCUUCAUCCGAGUCCUUAAAAUGAUCCAAGAACUGGACUGGACUUAAAUCUGACCAGAUUUGGACUCAGUCAUGACUCAGACUUGCCCAUGUAUAGUGACCUCUGUGGGGCAAAAUCUUUGAUUGAAUUUUAUUGGUUGAACUCAAAUUGGACCAAAUGUUGGGCUGGUCUCAACUCAAAACUGGACAAAAACUUGAUUCAAACGUCAAAAGUCUGUGAUUCAAAAUUUGAUCACAUUCGGACUAAAUCAUCACUAAGAUUUAGUGAACUAAGUCAACAUCCAAAUUUGACAUCAAUUGAAUCCUAAUUUGACCAAAUGUUGCUUUUGUCUGAACUCUAAAUGACCAGUACGUAGUCUAGUUUUACCACAAGUAGACUUUUUAGAGCUCAAAACGUGACUCCAAUUGGAUUCAGUCUUGACUCAAGCUUUGCUGAACUAUGUCCAACCCUAUAUUCAAAUUUGAUGCCACCUUUACACUUAAACUCUGACCUAACCUUGACCUGGACUCAGUGAGGAAUCUAGUUUUACCACAGGCAGACUUUUAAGAGCUCAAUACGUGACUCCACUUCGACUCAGUCUUGACUUUGUUGAACUAUGGCCAACCCUAGAUCCAAAUUUGAAAACAUCCGUUGAACCCAAAUUUGACCAAAUGUUGGGUUUGUCUGAACUCUAAAUGACUCCAUUUGGACAAGACUUGAUUCAGCCUAUUCCGAAUUUAGACCCAAAUUUGAACAAAUUUGAUCUUGACUCAAACUUGCCCAAACUUGAUGAACUAGAUCUAAUCCUAGAUCCAAAUUUGGUGACAUCCGUUGAACCUACAUUUGACCUAAUAUUGGGUUUGACUAAACUCAGAAUGUCUCCAUUUGGACAAAGGCUUGAUUCAGACUUGCCCACAUUUGUUGAACUGAUUGGAGUGAAAUUUGGCGACCUUUAGACUUAAACUCUUGACCUAAACUGUACCUGGAGUCUAUUUUUACCACAGGUAGACUUUUUGGAGCUCAAAACGUGACUUCACUUCGACUCAGUCUUGACUCAAACUUUAGUGAACCACGUCCAAUCCAAAUUCUAUGACAUCAAUUGAACACAAAUUUGACCAAACUGAAACUAUGACUCCGUUUGGACAAGGCUUGAUUCAGACAAUUCCGAAUUUGGACCCAAAUUUGAACAAAUUUAGACUUUAUCUGGACUCAAACUUGUCCAAACUAUGUCCAAUCCUUGAUCCACAUUCGAUGACAUCCACUGAAGCAAAACUUGACCACAUGUUCAGUUUGACUAAACUUAGAAUGUCUCCAUCUGGACAGAAACCGGAUUCAACCUUGUCCACAUUUGUUGAAUGCUUUGGAUUGAAAUUUGGCCACAAUUUAGACUUAAACUCUUGACCUAAACUUAACCUGGAGUUUUUUUUUUUUGUUUUUACCACAGGUAGACUUUUUGGAGCUCAAAACGUGACUUCACUUGGACUCAGUCUUGACUCAAACUUUGCUGAACUAUGUCCAACCCAACAUCCAAAUUUGACGACAACCGUGGAACCCAAAUUUGACCAAAUGUUGGGUUUGUCCCAAUCUCUAAACGUGGCUCCAUUUGGACAAAAACCUCAUUCAACCUUGUCCAUAUUUGUUGAACUGACUGGGAUGAAACCUGACCACAUGUAGACUUAAACUCUUGACCUAAACUUGACCUGGAAUCAGUUCAGAGUCUAUUUGGAUCACAGGUAGACUUUUUAGAGCUCAAAACAUGACUCCAUUUGGACUCAGUCUUGACUCAAACUUUGGUGAACUACGUCCAACCCAACAUCCAAAUUUGAUGACUGUUGAACCCAAACUUGACCAAAUGCAGAGUUUGUCGAAACUCAAAACAUGACUCCAUUUGGACUCAGUCUUCACUCAAACUGAUCCAGAUUUGGUGGACUCCCUG
ensembl:lncRNA